rnacentral:rRNA from 1 species
AACAAACGCUGGCGGCGUGCCUAAUACAUGCAAGUCGAACGGGGAAAGCUUUCGGGUGAGUACUAGUGGCGCACGGGUGAGGAACGCGUGGAUAAUCUGCCUUAGAGUGGGGGAUAACUAGUCGCAAGAUUAGCUAAUACCGCAUAAGACCACGAGAGCUGCGGCUUUUGAGGUCAAAGGUUUUUCGCUCUAAGAUGAGUCCGCGUAAGAUUAGCUAGUUGGUGGGGUAACGGCUCACCAAGGCGACGAUCUUUAACUGGUCUGAGAGGAUGAUCAGUCACACUGGAACUGAGACACGGUCCAGACUCCUACGGGAGGCAGCAGUAGGGAAUAUUGCACAAUGGAGGAAACUCUGAUGCAGCGACGCCGCGUGAGUGAUGAAGGCCUUCGGGUCGUAAAGCUCUGUCGCAGGGGAAUAACACAAUGAAGGUACCCUGUAAGAAAGGAUCGGCUAACUUCGUG